AAAGAGUGCAGUUUUGUACUUUUCAUAUUCAAUGUUUGAUCGUCCGUCUUAUUUGAAGAUUUUUUAUGAUUAGUAUUUUUUAUAAUUAGAUGAUAAAACAUAAAUAAUAUUUAAUGUUUAACUAUUUUUUAAAAAUAAUAUAAUUUUUUAAAUUGACAGACGGUUAAAUGUUGAUAUAGAAGCAACGACUUCACUUGAA
rnacentral:pre_miRNA from 1 species